GUUGGUAAGGUAACGGCUUACCAAGGCGACGAUCAGUAGCCGACCUGAGAGGGUGAUCGGCCACAUUGGAACUGAGACACGGUCCAAACUCCUACGGGAGGCAGCAGUGGGGAAUAUUGCACAAUGGGCGAAAGCCUGAUGCAGCAACGCCGCGUGAGCGAUGAAGGCCUUCGGGUCGUAAAGCUCUGUCCUCAAGGAAGAUAAUGACGGUACUUGAGGAGGAAGCCCCGGCUAACUACGUGCCAGCAGCCGCGGUAAUACGUAGGGGGCUAGCGUUAUCCGGAUUUACUGGGCGUAAAGGGUGCGUAGGUGGUUUCUUAAGUCAGGAGUGAAAGGCUACGGCUCAACCGUAGUAAGCUCUUGAAACUGGGAAACUUGAGUGCAGGAGAGGAAAGUGGAAUUCCUAGUGUAGCGGUGAAAUGCGUAGAUAUUAGGAGGAACACCAGUAGCGAAGGCGGCUUUCUGGACUGUAACUGACACUGAGGCACGAAAGCGUGGGGAGCAAACAGGAUCAGAUACCCUGGUAGUCCACGCCGUAAACGAUGAGUACUAGGUGUCGGGGGUUACCCCCCUCGGUGCCGCAGCUAACGCAUUAA
rnacentral:rRNA from 1 species